rnacentral:rRNA from 1 species
AUGCCGCCGACGACGACAUCAACGACGGCACCGUCGCUGCCGGACGAGCUCCUCGAGGAGGUCUUCCUCCGCCUCCCGCCGAGGAGCCCGCGCUCCUCGCGCGCGCCUCCUUCGCCAGCAAGCUCUGGCUCGGCCUCCUCUCCGGCCCUCGUUUCCGCCGUCGCUACGGCGAGUUCCAUGGAGCUCCCCCCAUGCUGGGGUUCCUUUAUUCAUGGCCUUAUCUCUGCAUGCCUGAUGAGGAGGAACCCGUGGCAAACUUCGUCUCCACCACGAAAUUCGCCGCGCGCGCUCCCGACGACCAUGGGUACACUCCGUGGGACUGCCGCCAUGGCCGCGUUCUCCUGGGCAAUCAUUAUAAAUAUGAUAUGGGCCUCGUCGUCUGGGACCCAAUGA